rnacentral:rRNA from 1 species
GACGUAGGGUGCGAGCGUUGUCCGGAUUUAUUGGGCGUAAAGAGCUCGUAGGCGGUGUGUCGCGUCGGCCGUGAAAACCUGCAGCUUAACUGUGGGCUUGCGGUCGAUACGGGCAUCACUGGAGUUCGGCAGGGGAGACUGGAAUUCUCGGUGUAGCGGUGAAAUGCGUAGAUAUCGAGAGGAACACCUGCGGCGAAGGCGGGUUGCUGGGCUGACACUGACGCUGAUUGUGCGAAAGCUAGGGGAGCGAACGGG